AUGGAAGCUCAAAAUCCCUCUAAGAUUUUCCUCUGGUUUCUUAAUAGAGGAGUCAUCCUAACUAGAGAUUAUCUGGCACGAUGAAACUGGCAUGGUUCCAAGACAUGUGUCUUUUGCCAACAUGACGAGUCUAUUAAACACUUAUUUUUUGAGUGCAAGUUUGCUCAGGCAGUUUGGGCCAUAGUUCAAGUAGCUUCGAAUCUAUACCCACCACGUAGUGCACGGAACAUGUUCGGCAACUGGUUGCGGGGUAUUGAUAAACAAUUUUCUACAUAUAUUCUUGUGGGAGCGGUGGCCUUAUGCUGGGCACUAUGGCUUACCAGGAAUGAUGUGAUUUUUAAUUAA
rnacentral:rRNA from 1 species